AGUGAACGCUGGCGGUAGGCCUAACACAUGCAAGUCGAACGGCAGCACAGUAAGAGCUUGCUCUUACGGGUGGCGAGUGGCGGACGGGUGAGGAAUACAUCGGAAUCUACUUUUUCGUGGGGGAUAACGUAGGGAAACUUACGCUAAUACCGCAUACGACCUACGGGUGAAAGCAGGGGAUCUUCGGACCUUGCGCGAUUGAAUGAGCCGAUGUCGGAUUAGCUAGUUGGCGGGGUAAAGGCCCACCAAGGCGACGAUCCGUAGCUGGUCUGAGAGGAUGAUCAGCCACACUGGAACUGAGACACGGUCCAGACUCCUACGGGAGGCAGCAGGGGGGAAUAUUGGACAAUGGGCGCAAGCCUGAUCCAGCCAUACCGCGUGGGUGAAGAAGGCCUUCUGGUUGUAAAGCCCUUUUGUUGGGAAAGAAAAGCAGCAGGUUAAUACCCCGCUGUUCUGACGGUACCCAAAGAAUAAGCACCGGCUAACUUCGUG
rnacentral:rRNA from 1 species